rnacentral:rRNA from 1 species
AGAGUUUGAUCCUGGCUCAGGAUGAACGCUAGCUACAGGCUUAACACAUGCAAGUCGAGGGGAAACGACAUCGAGAGCUUGCUUUUGAUGGGCGUCGACCGGCGCACGGGUGAGUAACGCGUAUCCAACCUGCCCAUCACUUGGGGAUAACCUUGCGAAAGUAAGACUAAUACCCAAUGACGUCUCUAGAAGACAUCUGAAAGAGAUUAAAGAUUUAUCGGUGAUGGAUGGGGAUGCGUCUGAUUAGCUUGUUGGCGGGGUAACGGCCCACAAGGCGACGAUCAGUAGGGGUCUGAGAGGAAGGUCCCCACAUUGGAACUGAGACACGGUCCAAACUCCUACGGGAGGCA